GUUAGGAAUCUUCCACAAUGGGGGCAACCCUGAUGGAGCAACACCGCGUGCUGGAUGAAGGCCUUCGGGUCGUAAACAGCUUUUGUAUACGAAGAAUAUGACGGUAAUAUACGAAUAAGGGUCGGCUAACUACGUGCCAGCAGCCGCGGUCAUACGUAGGACCCAAGCGUUAUCCGGAGUGACUGGGCGUAAAGAGUUGCGUAGGCGGCUUAUUAAGCGAGUAGUGAAAUCUGGUGGCUCAACCAUCCACACAUUGCUCGAACUGAUAGGCUUGAGAAUGGUAGAGGGAGUUGGAAUUUCUUGUGUAGGAGUGAAAUCCGUAGAUAUAAGAAGGAACACCAAUGGCGUAGGCAGACUACUGGACCAUUUCUGACGCUGAGGCACGAAAGCGUGGGGAGCAAACAGGAUUAGAAACCCGAGUAGUCC
rnacentral:rRNA from 1 species